UCCCUUGUGACUCAGCUGGUAAAGAAUCUGCCUGCAAUGCAGGAGAUCUGGGUUCGAUCCCUAGGUUGGGAA
rfam:TPA: Bos taurus chromosome 1, whole genome shotgun sequence.